GUGGUGAACAGGUGAGUAUAGAUAUCCGGCCUACCUUAAAGAGAGGGGAAAGAUCCCUCAUAGUCAAAAGGUGUAAUACCGCUUUAAGAGGACUUAAGGAAAUAUCGUCGGGAUAGGUAGUUGUUAAGGUGAUUUCUUAACAAGCCUUAAUUCUCGUAGUCGAAACUGAAACGGUUGAUCGACCACAUUGGGUCUGAAAAAAGCCCAAGGCAAGUGAGUACAGCAGUGAGGAAUUUUGGUCAAUGGCCUAACGGCUGAACUGGCAACUUUGAGGAAUGUAGAUUUAGGAGCUCUAUAAAUUGAUUAUCGAAUAAAAUUCUAAAUGUUUAUGGAUAAUGACGAUAAACAGAUUGAUGCCUUGACUAAUUACGUGCCAGCAGUCGCGGUAAUACGUAAGAGGCUAGUGUUAUUCAUCUUAAAUAGGUUUAAAGGGUACUUAGACGGUGAAAAUUUUCCUUUAUAAAGGUACGUUUUUACUAGAGUUUUAUGUGAGGAGGUCGUACUUGAGGUGUAGAGAUGAUAUUUGUUGAUACCUUAGGGACUGAUAAAGGCGAAGGCAACCUUUUAUGUAAAAACUGACGUUGAAGGACGAAGGCACAGAGAACUAACAGGAUUAGAUACCCCAGUAGUCUUUGCAGAGAAUGAUGAAUGCCAUAGGUUAGGUUUUAAUAACUUGGUUUGACAGUAGAGUUUUUAUACUUUACUGUUUGGAGUAUUUCUCCUAUAAAAAAUUUAUGCUUGAGCCGUAUGCGGUGAAAGUCGCACGUACGGUUCUUAAAGGGGGAAAAUCUGAGAAGAUCUACCUAUCUUAACUAUUUAAUUCGAUGAUCCACGAAAAACCUUACCACAAUUUGAAUAUUAUUUGACAUAUUAAAGAGUGUUUUAUAAUACAAGUGUUGCACGGCUGUUUUCAGUUAAUGUUGUGAAACUGCGGAUUUGUCCGUGGAAUUAACGAAUACCCUGGCUUUAUUUAUAAUCUAUUAAUAUAAAGCAUUUUCUGGCCCGCUACAAUUGUCAGAAAAAAAGGGAAUAAGACAAGUCAUCAUGGCCUGCUUCUAAGUUAAUUCUUUUUAGCUUACCCUGAUAUUAGGUUUAACUAGUCUCUAUAUGACAGUAGUAACAGUACAUUUAAUAAUUUAAUUUGCUUUAAGAUAAAAUUGACUAAUUGAGACAAAGAGAAGCAAAAAUGCGAAUUUAAGCUAAUCUCAAAAAAUAGGAUAAAAUACUGGAAAUGGAUUGUAGCCUGAAAUUCGGCUGCAUGAAUAAGAAAUUGCUAGUAAUCGUGAAUCACCAUGUCACGGUGAAUAUUACUUUGGAUUGGUACUAAUCACUCGUCACAUGCUGAAAAGAGUUGGUGCAAUAAGUUUGCCUUUUUAUUAUAAGUACAUAAAUGAUAGGAUUU
rnacentral:rRNA from 1 species